rnacentral:lncRNA from 1 species
GUGGAAAUUUUAUGGGAAUGUCAGUGGCUGAAAAUGAAACAGACUGACCCCUCGGUGAAAGAAUUUAUGAGUAUUUAUUCGGCCCCCGAGAGACUGAAACCCCGAGACUCGCUUUUUGGUGGACGCACGAACGCUUAUAAGCUGUACCACAAAACGGUCGAUGGGGAGAAAAUAAGUUAUGUCGAUUUCACCAGCUUAUAUCCGUUCUGCCAGGCCAGGAAAAGCUAUCCGAUCGGUCACCCCGAGAUAAUUUUCAGUGACUUUGAACCGAUUGAGAAUUAUUACGGUCUUAUCAAGGCCACCGUGUACCCUCCACGCAAAUUACUACAUCCGGUUUUACCUUACCGCUGCGGCGGGAAACUAAUGUUCCCGUUAUGCCGAACAUGCGCACGCACUGAAAACCAGACAACGAGUUGCACGCACAUGGACGAGGAGAGGGCUCUCUCAGGGUGCUGGGUCAGCAUCGAACUUUUAAAAGCGAUCGAGAAGGGGUACGUGGUGGCAAAGGUCGACGAAGUGUGGCAUUUCCCACAGCGGUCAGAUACGCUGUUUUGCGAUUACGUGAAAACGUUUUUACGUUUGAAACAGCAAGCGUCCGGUUUCCCGUCAAACGUAGUCUCGGACGUGGACAAAGAGAAUUACAUCAUUGAAUAUUAUGAAAAAGAGGGGAUCCAACUUGACCCCGAAAAAAUCAGUCACAACCUCGCCCAGAGGUCUAUCAAUAAAUUGCUUCUUAAUUCGUUAUGGGGACGAUUUUCUAUGCGCGAACAUUUACCGCAAACCCUGCUCGUGAAAGACCCUGAAGAUUUCGCACAAAUCAUUUUUGGUAAGACCGAUAUCCUGAAAUAUUUCACAUUCGUCUCAGACGACGUGGCUCUCGUCCAGCAUUGUCGUCCCGAAGGGGAUGUUUGUGAGACUCGCAACAUUAACGUGUUUAUAGGGGCGUUUACGACGGCUCACGCCCGGUUGGAGUUGUACGACCUGAUGGACAGACUCGGCGACCGGGUGUUAUACUCCGAUACCGACUCUGUUAUAUUCGUGUCUAGGGACGGCGACUGGAUACCCCCUCUGGGGGACCAUUUGGGGGAGCUGACGGAUGAAAUAGGGGACGACGAUUACGUCACAGAGUUUGCCUCUAGUGGUCCCAAAUCGUAUGGCUAUCACACAGCCAAAGGAAAAGUGUGCAAAAUGUCUAAAGCUAAAGGCCUCAGUGCUUGGAACGACUCGGGUGAGUUUGUGUUUAAGGGUGAAGCAGUGCCGGUUCACACAUGCUCGAUUUGUUAAAAAAUGUCACGGCACGCUUUCUGGGCGUAACUGAGAGCUUCUUGGACCCUCGCUUUGUUUUCUUUAUCGAAUGACCACGCCUCCUUAUACCCGGCGGUUUAGA